rnacentral:lncRNA from 1 species
UGAAAUAUUAUUUUUAUUUUUUAUGGAAUAAAAUACAUACAUUUAAACACAAUUACAUUCACACAGAUUAUUAUAUCAUGGAUUUAAGAAACAGAUUAAGUGACUCCCUCUGGAGAAGUGGAAUGGAAAAAUAUGCUGAGACAAACAGGAAAUUUAUUCUAUUCUUUAUCCCAUUUUGUAUGGCUUUCAUCCUUACUAUUUAGUAUUAUCUAUUACAUUUCAAUUUUUCUAUAACAAUUAGCAUUAUAUUAAAAUUGUUAUAUUAUGCAACUAAAAUUUAUAAAAAAGCCCUAUAUACCAUUAAAUAUUUUAUAUAGCAUAAUAAAAAGAAUAACUUAACUGGUAAGAAUAACAAAAAUAAUACACCCUCUGAAAAUAAGUAAAAUAUGAAAUGCAUAAAUUUGUUAAAAAACAGUGUAACAUAUAAAUAUAUCCUCACAAUUUGUAACAUCUUAUGAUUCUUAAAUAUAGGCAUUACACCAUUCUAGGUGAUGUGAUAAACAUUAUAGACCUUACAUUGUACCAUGGAGAGAAUGGUUAUUAAUAAUACAAUUGUAGAACUGUAUUAUUUAAUUGUACAAUUGCAUUAUUUAAUUAUAAUUAUCAUAAAUUCUUUGAAGGAGAUGAAAUCAGAAUCAGAUCGAAGAAGACUUCAGCAUUCCGGGAAUGAUGUCAAAUGACCCACUUCAUGAUGGAUUAUGCACUUAUUUACUAUGAGAUAUAUUUCUUCUCCAGAGAUUACUUGCUUGUGUAUCAAUUGUAUGUUUGGUUUGAAGUUAUUCUGAAGUUUUGAUAUGAGUCUAUAUGUAUAUGAGAUUGUUUUAAGUUGUUGUUCUCUUAAUUGCAAGUUCAUCUCCAGUGUCCUGCAUUUGUAUCCACCUCUUCUCAUGAUUUCUGAUUUUGGUAGUAUAAUUGUUCCUGGAUGACUUCGUAUCUUUACUGUAUAUAUACAUUUACUGGUGAGCCUUGUCAUUUGCGGAAUUUUUGUUUCCUGUAGCUGUCUUGACUUUUCUUCCUAGGGAAGUUCCUUUAGUAUUUGUUGUAAGGCUGGUUUAGUGUUGCUGAAUUCUCUCAACUUUUGCUUAUCUGUGAAGGUUUUGAUUUCUCCUUCAAAUCUGAAUGAGAGCCUUGCUAGGUAGAGUAAUCUUGGUUGGAGGUUUUUUUCCUUUCAUCACAUUAAUUAUAUUAUGCCACUCCCUUCUGGCCUGCAGAGAUUCAGCUGAAAAAUCUGCCAAUAACUUUAUUGGGGUUCCCUUGUAUGUUACUUGUUUCUUUUCUCUAGCUGCUUUCAAGAUUUUCUCUUUGUCUUUAAUUUUGGUCAGUUUGAUUAAUAUGUGUCUAAGUGAAUUUCUCCUUGGGUUUAUUUUAUAUGGUACUCAUUAUGCUUCCUGGAUUUGAGUGAGAGGUUCCUUUCCCACAUUAGGGGAGUUUUUGGCAAUUAUCUCUUGGAAUAUAUUUUUCUGUCUCUUUCUCUCUCUCUUCUCCUUCUGGCACCCCUAUAAUACGGAUGUUGGUGCAUUUAACAUUGUCCCAGAGUUCUCUGAGACUCUCUUCAUUUGUUUUCAAUCUUUUUUUUCUUUUAUGUUUUGCAUCUGCAAUUUCUAAUAAUCUGUCCUCCACCUCGCUUAUUCAUCCUUCUGCCUCCUGUAUUCUGCUGUUAGCUGCUUCUAGUGAGUUUUUAAUUUCAGCUAUUGUAUUUUGCAUCUCUUCUUGUUUAAGUUU